rnacentral:lncRNA from 1 species
CGAUGUUAUUAGCAACGGCAGAUGGACUAUUAGCGAAGGCAAAUAGCCGUCACUAAUAGUCUGCAUUCUAUAGUGAUUAUAUUAUUCAUUAUAAUUAAUCUAUUAUAAGAUAACUUAUUAUUAUAAUAUAAUAUAUGAUAAUAUUAUAUAAUAUAUUAUAAUAUAUACUAUAUGAUAUAAUAUAGUAUAGUAUAUUACAGUACACAUAUUAAGUUAUUAUAAUAUUAGAAUAAUAAAUUAUUGAGAUAAUAUAAUACUAUAUUGCUAUAUCAUAU